GGGUCAGUAGGUUGGUCGUGCCACCGGUACGUACUGGUCUCACUGAUUCCUCCUUCCUGAAGAACCGUAAUGCCAUUAAUUUGGUGUUGCGGGGAAACAGGACUGUUACUUUGAAAAAAUUAGAGUGUUUAAAGCAAGCUAACGCUUGAAUACAUUAGCAUGGAAUAAUGAAAUAGGACGAUCGAUCCUAUUUUGUUGGUUUCUGGGAUUGACGUAAUGAUUAAUAGGGAUAUUGGG
rnacentral:rRNA from 1 species